CAUACCUAUUCGAAGGGAUAGGGUCGGUUUGGCCGGAUUUCACACAGGUGUUGCAUGGCUGUCGUCAGCUCGUGUCGUGAGAUGUUGGGUUAAGUCCCGCAACGAGCGCAACCCUCAUCCUUAGUUACCAUCAGGUUAUGCUGGGGACUUUAAGGAAACUGCCAGUGAUAAACUGGAGGAAGGUGGGGAUGAUGUCAAGUCAUCAUGGCCCUUAUGGAGUGGACUACACACGUGCUACAAUGGUGAUUACAAUGGGCUGCAAGGUCGCAAGGCUGAGCUAAUCCUAAAAAAUCAUCUCAGUUCGGAUUGUUCUCUGCAACUCGAGAGCAUGAAGUUGGAAUCGCUAGUAAUCGUGGAUCAGCAUGCCACGGUGAAUACGUUCUCGGGUCUUGUACACACUGCCCGUCACGCCAUGGGAAUUGGUUUCACUCGAAGCU
rnacentral:rRNA from 1 species